rnacentral:rRNA from 1 species
CCACGCUGCCCUGGCCGUUGUUGCCGCCGUGUCGACCAUCCGGUGCACCCCCGAUGAGGAUAAGACCACUCCUGACCCUGUAGACAAACCCUAUCCCUCACUUAUCCUCUUGCUCAUCCUCUCCCUCUCAGUUUCGCACGCUCCCGAGCUCUCGUCGACUCGUCGUCGCCAUCCUCGCGGCCACUGCCUCCCCGGCGGUCAGGAGGUUCUCCAGGAGCUCCGCCAUCAUCGACUCCUUCGCCUACCUCUGCUGAAUCAAGCUAAGAGGCACCAUACGCUCGGGAUCGAGAUGGUUUCCGCCACGGCCGUUGCAUCUUGCUGUCCAGCUUGACGCAUCCGGCCACCACCGCAGCUCCUGACCUCGUCCACAAGCUCCGCGACCUCGUGACGGCUGCGUCAUCGACGACCCUCCUUCUCGUUUGAGCAACCAGGCAAGCCCCCCUUUGAUCAUCCCGAUAUCGCCCAUUCCAUUCUCUCAUGCUUGCAUUAGAUUUUGCUACUGUAAUUGAUUGCUCCGAUUCUGAUGCAUAGUCUGCUUUUGUAACUUCCUUAUUGUUACCUACCUGCUUAUCCUAAACUGCUUAAUAUAGGUUGGUUAGUGAUCCAUAAGUGACCCCACCUAGUCCUUAUUGCCCCUGCUUCAUCAUCGAUGACUCGAUCAACAUGAUCGACGACCAGAGCCCGACACCUCACAUCACAUCACGCCCCUUUUGUUGCUCGACUCUGCAGAGUUGCCAUCGAGUGCCGAGGGUGGAACCUCUUACAUCACUCCUGAUAAGAUCUCUGUAGUGUAGCUAUCCGGUCGUGGUCAUGGAGGGUGAUUUCCUCCUUAACCACUUCCGAUACGGCUCUGUCGUGCAACCCCUCAUGUGUGAACCUCGAGGGUGGAUCCUCUUACGUUCACCUUGAUGAUUACAUCGAGCGGAAUUCACUAGGGGUGAUUCCUUGGGUUUUCCCCUUGAUGUUUGAACACACGGAUACUUGGACUUUACAACUGUUACUUGGAAAGGCGGGUCGACCGUGAGCGGUACCCGCGAGUGAUGUGUAGUCGUUUUGACCUGGAGGGUGCCCACGAGAUAAUUACGAGGCGUGGCCAGGCAUUCCUAGCCCUUGCCGCAAGUCCUCGAGACGGGGCAACGGGGUCACAUCUUUCGUGAGUCUCUGCUUGUUACCUCGCGUUCCUAAUCCACUAUGAUUUGGAUAUUUGAUCCGAGGGGCCUCUGGCCUGAUAGCACUAACCAUCACAUGGGCAUAGUAUGGGCGUUCUGCGUCGUAUGCAUCAGCCGAACGUUAAUAGACGUUAGCGACUGAGCGGUGCACGCCGGGUUGGACUGGUAAGCACCUUCCUUUUUGAAGGAGGAAGCUAGGUCUGCUCACCGGCCGCGUACCCAACGUGCGGGAGUUCCCGGGGAGAUGGUCCAUGACCCCUGGGGGCAUAGGUUUAGUCCGGCGUGCUGACCUCUCUAUUAAGCCUAGGUCGGGUUGCGGCGUAUUGUUUGGCCGAGGCCGGGCAUGACCCAGGAAAGUGUGUCCGGCCGGAGUUAAUCGAGCGUGGUGGGUAAGUUGGUGCACCCCUGCAGGGAAGAAAACAUCUAUUGAUAGCAUGUCCUACGGUAACGGACACUUGGAGUUGUAUCCCGAUUGAUACAACUAGAACUAGAUACUUGAGAUGAGACUUGGAUAUGAGGUGAUAAAUGGAUAGUAUGGCUCUGGGAUUACUUUCUCGCAAGGAGUCGAGAAAGGACCUCUGGCCGAGGUUGAUAACACUUCUACUACUUUACUUUAUGCUACUCUACUCCCUCCUGUUGCUGUAAGAUGGUGGUUUCCAGAAGAUGCUAGUCUUCGAUAGGCUAGGCUUUCCCCUUCUCUUUUGGCAUUCUACAGUCCAGUUCACAAAUACAACCCUUUUCAUUGAUACCGGUGCAUAUGUAGUGUAGAUCCUUGUUAUGACGCCCGGAUAAUUAAGCUACAGUGAACCUUUUCCAAUGAUGCCACGUCACCUCGGUUACUAUUGAUAAACUCGCGUUAGUUUAAAACAUAUUCAAAUUAAAUUUAAAUUAAAGUCAAACGUUAAAAGUUUUCAAAUGUCAAACUAAAAUGUUCAAAAAAUGGUAAAUAAUCCAUAGGCAAUUAUGGUGGUAAAAUCAACUUUUUGUAAAGUAAUUAAGUGGCCUAAAAUAAUUAAAACAUGGGUCAAUUAUUUAUUAAAAUGCAUUUUCAAAAUGGUAGAAAUCUCCAAACUAUUUUAUUUGCCCCUAAACCUUUUUGUGACAGUAGCCUAUAUUACUAUAUUAAUUGUGGAGCAAGUUUUGUUUUUAUUAAGACAAAUGGUUUAGAAACUAAAUAGAAACCGAAGUUGAAAUAAAAAGAAAACAAAGAAAAAGGAAAGAAAGAAAACCCCGGGCCUUCCCCCCUCCCCUUCCGCUGUUUGGCCCAACUGGGCAUCCAAUCCACCAGCCCACAGGCCCAAGCCCACCAAAGGCCUUUCUCCCUCCCCUAUACAGAGAAGGUGCGUGGCGACCAUCCAAGGUGCCAUGGCCGUGGAUGUCGUCCACGUCGCCUCCUGAACACUAUAAUCCAGUACCCCAGAAACCCUAGCUCGUCCUUGUCCACUUCCCCCUCCUUCCCCAUCGUGCCCCCUCCUCAUCUGCUCGGAAUCAAUCUCGGGAACUCACGCGGUGACCACUGCCUCACCAUUGUUGUCGUGGACACCAUCGUCGCUGUCGCUUGGGAGCACGUCCUGGAGGAUCUCCGCGCACGACUUCGUCCGUUCCGGGGACCAGCUUGAGCCGAGGAGCUGCGUAGCUGUCACCAUUGUCGUCUUCUUCAACCAGCCGCCACUAACUCGCCGUCGAUGUCGACGCUUCGGUCCACCCCGACCCUUCCCGAGCAGGCUAAUGGACUCACCGUGAGCUCCUCUCUCAGAUCCCUAUUGCCCCCCUUUGUUUUGGACGCCGUAGGCCGCUGUUGCCAUCGUGCCCGAGUUUCCGCGUACAUCUGCAGAUGCUACUCCUUACUACAGCUACUUUCUGUGCACUGCAGCUACUGCUCAUGCUGUUGCGCGGCUGCUACCGUUGCUCCUGGCCGCUUGCGCUACUGCUUGCUCGAGCUGCUGCCCCGCUUGCCCUGCUGCUGCGCUGCCACUAGUUGCUGCUCCGCUGUCGCUUGCUGCGUCUCUGCUGCGCCCCUCCUUCAUCGCCGCCUGCGCCUCGGGGGUGCCAGCGCCCGCUGCGCACCGCGGUUUGCCCGCCGCACCGGAUGCGUCCGCGCUGGCGUGCCCUGCCGCUGCUCGCCCCCCCUGCGUGCGCCCCCAUUCCCCAUCGCUCUGGCCCACACCGGCCACGGCCGCCCACCCCCGCAGCCACGGCAACCGACUGCGCCCGCUCCGCCCAUCUCCGCCGCCUGCCACUUGCUCGUCGGCGGCGAGCCACGCCUGCCUACCCUGCUCGCCGGCCAAGCCCUGUACUUGGCCCGCGCUUGCGCCGGCUGUGCUCCGGCCAUGGCUUCGACCUGGUACGCGUGUGCGCGCUAGCGUGUGGCCACUGGCUUCCAGCCAGUGCCUUGUGGCCCCUCCCUCUAAUAGCUUGUUUAGGAUUAACAAAAGUAGUUAAUUUGAUUGACCCCCAUGUCACCGACAGUAUGGCCCCACUUAGUAGUUAUGCUAAAUAGAUUAAAUAAACAAUGUUUAGUUUAACCCAUAUAAAAACUGAGUCAGUGACAGCCGGGUCCCACCUACACUAUUCACCCUUUGACCAGUCAGAUGUUGACUGGGUCAACUAGUCAACAUGCCCCACAUGUCAGCCUCUGUAGAACCUGCUGUGUACACUUCAGUGUGUGCACGUAGCAUUUGGCUAUUAAUUUCAAAUUAAUAAUAAUUCCAGAAUUUUGAAUUAUCUAUUAAAACUUUGAAAAUUAGUAUAAAAUAAACCGUACCUCGGAUGAAAAUACUUUGUACAUGAAAGUUGCUCAGAACGAUGAGACAAAUCCGAAUACGCAGCACGUUCGUCCGCCACACAUCCUUAGCAUAGUGAACAUGCAACAAUCCACCUUCGAUUCAUCUGUCUGAAUAUGCCAAACACCAGGAAUACUUUCCCGGAUGUUUCCUCCCUUCGCCGGUAUCACCUAGUACUGCGUUAGGGCACACCUAGCACCGUGUAUUGCCAUGUUAUGCUUUGUGUUGCUUUGAUUGAUUUAUUAUUUAUUGUAUUCCCCCUCCGUUACUUCUUUCCGGUAGACCCCGAGACUGCCGGGGACCCCCAGUUCGACUACGGUGUGGACGACCCCUCCUUGCCAGAGCAACCAGGCAAACCCUCCCUUUGAUCACCAGAUAUCGCCUACAAUUCUCUCUACUUCUUGCAUUAGAGUAGUGUAGCAUGUUGCUGCUUCCGUUAAUCCUAUCCUGAUGCAUAGCAUGUCCUUGCUACUACUGUUGAUACCUUUACCUGCAAUCCUAAUGCUUAGUAUAGGAUGCUAGUUUAUCAUCAGUGGCCCUACAUUCUUGUCCGUCUUCCAUGCUAUACUAUCGGUCCGUGAUCACUCGGGAGAUGAUCACAGGUAUAUACUUAUACUUAUAUACAUACUAUAGAGGUGGUGACUAAAGUCGGGUCGGCUCAUUGAGUACCUGCAAGUGAUUCUGAUGUUCGGGCUGAAGGGGAAGGUGGCUCCAUCCAGGUAGUGGUGGGCCUGAGUUCCCGACGGCCCCCGACUAUUACUUUGAGGCGGAGCGACAGGGUAGGUUGAGACCACCUAGGAGAGAGGUGGGCCUGGCCCUGGUCGGCGUUCGCGGAUACUUCAAAAUAACACGCUUAACGAGAUAUUGGUAUUUGAUCUGAGUCUGGCCACUGGCCUAUACGCACUAACCAACUACGCGGGAACAAUUAUGGGCACUCGACGUCGUGGUAUCAGCCGAAGCCUUCGUGACGUCAGCGACUGAGCGGCGAGCGUCGGGUUGGACUAGAACGCCUGCUCUUGUAUAAGGGAGGCUAGGUCUGCUCUCCGGCCGCCCUCGCAACAUGCAGGUGUGCAAUGGGCGAUGGGCCCAGACCCCUGCGCCAUAGGAUUUAGACCGGCGUGCUGACCUCUUUGUUGUGCCUAGGUAGGGCUGCGACGUGUUGAUCUUUCGAGGCCGGGCAUGACCCUGAAAAGGGUGUCCGGACAAAGGGGAUCGAGCGUGUUGGGAAAUAUGGUGCACCCCUGCAAGGAAGUUAAUCUAUUCGGGUAGCCGUGAUCUUUGGUACCAGGACGACUUGGAGUUGUACCUUGACCUUAUGACAUCUAAAACUGGUGACUUAAUAAAACACACCCUUCCAAGUGCCAGAUACAACCCGGUGAUCGCUAUCUAACAGGGCGACGAGGGGAGGAUCAUCGGUUAGGGUUAUGAUACGUCUCCAACGUAUCUAUAAUUUUUGAUUGCUCCAUGCUAUAUUAUCUACUGUUUUAGACAUUAUUGGGCUUUAUUAUCCACUUUUAUAUUAUUUUUGGGACUAACCUAUUAACCGGAGGCCCAGCCUAGAAUUGUUGUUUUUUUGCCUGUUUUAGGGUUUCGAAGAAAAGGAAUAUCAAAUGGAGUCCAAACGGAAUGAAACCUUCAGAAACGUGAUUUUCUCAUCAGAUAAGAUCCAGGAGACUUGGACCCUCCGUCAAGAAAGCCACGAGGUGGUCACGAGGGUAGGGGGCACCCCCUACCUCGUGGGCCCCUCGAAGCUCCACCGACGUACUUCUUCCUCCUAUAUAUAUCCACGUACCCCCAAACGAUCGAGGACAGAGCCAAAAACCUAAUUUCAUCGCCGCAACUUUCUGUAUCCACGAGAUCCCAUCUUGGGGCCUGUUCCGGAGCUCCACCGGAGGAGGCAUCGAUCACGGAGGGCUUCUACAUCAUCAUCCAAGCCCCUCCGAUGAAGUGUGAGUAGUUUACUUUAGACCUAUGGGUCCAUAGCUAGUAGCUAGAUGGCUUCUUCCCUCUUUUUGGAUCUCCAAUGUUCUCCCCCUCUCUCGUGGAUAUCUAUUUGUUGUAAUCUUUUUUUUGCGGUGUGUUUGUUGAGACCGAUGAAUUGUGGGUUUAUGAUCAAGUCUAUCUAUGAAUAAUAUUUGAA